UUGGGGUGUAGUCAAGUGGUAAGACAGUGGACUUUGACUCCAUCAUUCGUAGGUUCGACCCCUACCGCCCCAGU
rnacentral:tRNA from 1 species